UACCCUAGAAGCCAAUCUUGGCUGACACAUAUCAUAUCUCUAAGAUAUAAUUUUAUACUUAUUAGACAUUUAUAUUAUCAUUCAUAUUUUUGUAUCCAUGAAUCAUCCAAGGAAUUAACAAGAUGAUGACACAUAUUCUUAAAGAGUUAAAAAUUUGAGACAUGUGUCAUUGAUGGUAAAUUUUUAAAUUGCUCCUAAUCAUAGAUCAUCAUGAGGAUGAUGAUUGAUCCGGAU
rnacentral:lncRNA from 1 species